GCUGUUCGUCUGGGGACCACAAUGUGAGAAGGAAUGAAGGAGCCCACUCUCCCCAUCGCACCCUUCCCACAUGCUUGCAGACGAGGCUCUCCUCUGAGCUGGGAAUGGCCUGUAGGACGGAUGCAUUUUGACGCCAGGAGUUGCUUUGAGGACUGGGGACACAUCAGGGUUUGUCAGAGCUGCAGAGGCACACUUGGCUUGUUUUCUAGCUUUUUGCAAAAGCUGGUUCUUCUGGGUCGACGUCACCAGCAACCGGGGCAGGGAGUCUGAGGCCCCGAAGAGGACCUGUGAGGCCCUAGCGGGAGGCCGUGUCUUCUGAAGAAUCCAAGGGAAAGAUGAAUUCCCCGCAGCCCGCCCAAACUGCUUGCACAGCUUUCUUAUUUAUUUCAAUUAAGCUCCGGGCUCAUUAUGCAGCCCCAGUGCUCACUCUUCUAUGGGGAGAAGCAGAAAUCACAUUUCCAUCUGCUUCUCCAGCCUGGGGAGUCCCAAGGGAGAGGACAGCAGCCACUACAGUGCUGGCCUCCCAGUUCCCCCGAGCACAUGCGGCUGGAGAAGGUCCUGGAGUGUCUUCAAGCUUCCAAGGGCUCUGCCAGAAACAAUUGUGAAAACAGAGUGCAGCCCAAGACUGAAGGAAUCUAUCCAUUCCUCUGGAAUUCUCCAUCUGUCCGGCUGGGCCCCAUAUUACGAUUUGAGGAAUGCCUUAAUGUGAAGUCAUCAGACUCGAAAAAGUUUUGCAUGCAGUCUUUGGCUUGCCAGUGGUUUCUCACCUUCAAAUGUUGGCCUCGGGCCUUCUGCUCCAUGGGUUCCAGCUGCGCUCGCCCCACCCUAGUUUGUCAUGACCCAACCAGUUCAUUCACAUGUCUGAGAUUUAUCACAGUGCUUCUCUGUCAGCCAGUGGUGGGCCGCGGGGAUCAGUGUCCAGCAGGAUGGACAGUGGCCACCAGCAUGAAAUUCACCUUGUGUAGAGAGGCGGGUCAUAAACACACAUCCUCUCACCACUUCAAAUAGGGUUAUUAGUGGUGGUUUCUGCCAUCCGGUGCUUCUCUGAUAUUUGUGGGUGAGGACU
rnacentral:lncRNA from 1 species